GGUAGCAGACAAAAUUUUUACAUGUUAAUAUUUCUAUUCCACCGACUCACAAUACCAGUACCACCCCAUCCCUAAUUGGGUCAUAUCUUACCUACACAAAUGAAACACACACACAUAUGAAGAGCGAGGGGAAAGAAUCACUACCAGUCUACCACCGCCAUAAUAUCAAAAAUAAGAAUUUUAAGUGUUUUAAUUUUACGGUUUUUUAGUUGUACUCUGUUAAAUUCAUGGUUCUAGUUUUUAGCCAGUUUGGUAGUAGUGGGCAUGUGGUAGUUAUUUUGUAAUUCCCUAAAUGGUUUCAUGUUAUAAAAAUGAAGACAAAGUUAUUAAGAAAUUUCUGAACAUUAUCAUAUGCUUAUUCCUUGCCUGGCUAAUAGUUAACCAUUUCUUUUGUCGAGAUGGUGUGACUGUAACCUGAAUUCCAUUUACAUUUCUUGAACCUUCCCCUUUGAACCGGGUGUUGCUCAUAACAAAGACGAUGUAGUGACAGGGAACAGCCUCACAAACUCCACAGACAUGAGAGGUCUUAUUCAAGAUGGCAGUCCAGGUUUAUGUGCAUUGACUCAUCUCGAGUGUAAAUGGUUGAACAGAGCAAGUAUUAUACAAGGUUUAUUAUCCCGGAAUAGAGAAAGAAAGAUGGGGUGCUGGAACGAGUGAAGAUGGGGGAAAGUAGAUAAGCCACGUGGUCAAUUUUGAUUGGUUGAUAUACUCCGUGGGUUUUAUACCCAAAAGACACGGGUUUUGUGUUUAAAUUCAUAAGUUUUAAAAAGUGUGCUUAUUUUGUAAAA